rnacentral:rRNA from 1 species
UACGUAGGGCGCAAGCGUUGUUCGGAUUUACUGGGCGUAAAGGGCGCGUAGGCGGCGUGACAAGUCACUUGUGAAAUCUCUGAGCUUAACUCAGAACGGCCAAGUGAUACUGUUGUGCUAGAGUGCAGAAGGGGCAAUCGGAAUUCUUGGUGUAGCGGUGAAAUGCGUAGAUAUCAAGAGGAACACCUGAGGUGAAGACGGGUUGCUGGGCUGACACUGACGCUGAGGCGCGAAAGCUAGGGUAGCAAACGGG